GACGAACGCUGGCGGCGUGCUUAACACAUGCAAGUCGAACGGAAAGACCCUGCUUUUGUGGGGUGCUCGAGUGGCGAACGGGUGAGUAACACGUGAGUAACCUGCCCUUGACUUUGGGAUAACUUCAGGAAACUGGGGCUAAUACCGGAUAGGAGCUCCUGCUGCAUGGUGGGGGUUGGAAAGUUUCGGCGGUUGGGGAUGGACUCGCGGCUUAUCAGCUUGUUGGUGGGGUAGUGGCUUACCAAGGCUUUGACGGGUAGCCGGCCUGAGAGGGUGACCGGCCACAUUGGGACUGAGAUUCGGCCCAGACUCCUACGGGAGGCAGCAGUGGGGAAUAUUGCACAAUGGGCGGAAGCCUGAUGCAGCAACGCCGCGUGCGGGAUGACGGCCUUCGGGUUGUAAACCGCUUUCGCCUGUGACGAAGCGUGAGUGACGGUAAUGGGUAAAGAAGCACCGGCUAACUACGUG
rnacentral:rRNA from 1 species